ensembl:snRNA U4 U4 spliceosomal RNA
AGCUUUGUGCGGUGGCAGUAUCAUAGCCAAUGAGGUUUGUUUGAGGCGUGAUUAUUCUACUUGAAAACUUUUCCCAAUAUCCUGCCAUGAAGGCUUGAAAUAUAGUUGGCACUGGCAAUUUUUGACAGUCUCUACUGAGA